rnacentral:lncRNA from 1 species
UGCAUAAGCCAAUUCUACAUCUAAUGCGAGGAAUUCUAAGUCUAAUACACUUAGAUGUCUACAAGAAUUCCACAUACACAAAUUCAUAGCUUUUUUUCAAGACUCAAGUAAUAGCUAAAAUACUCUUUCUCUUCUGAUUAAUCAAUACAAAUUAAUUUGCCAAAGAAGCAAUCUUCAUACAUGAAGGAACAGAAUAUCUUAACAGUGAAACAAAAUUAACAAAAUUAUUCAUCCAAUCAUGAAAUAUUCUGUAUACCAGCUAUAGAUCUUGAUUUACAGCAUUCACCAUGUCAUGGAAACACAACAAGAAACAAAUUUUUCUUCUUACUGAUAAAUUUGGGAUUUGAACCACUUUUUUUCUGACCAUGUUUAGCAACAAGAGUUACCGCUCAUGGCUACCAAACACCGAAGACAUAGGUGGGCUCGGAACUCUAUUCGAUCUCUGCAAAAACAUGCCCAAAAAUUGAAACAUUGAGUUUAGCACGGAAACCAAGUCCACAAGCACGAACGAAAACUCGUUAUAUAUGUUGAUGCUCUUCCUCAACAUUACAUGUAUCAAUACACAUAAUCCAUCCUCAAAUCUUGACAUUUUAUUUGGUUCUUCUUCUCUUUUGCAUCGCAAGNUUUUUUUUUUCAAGACUCAAGUAAUAGCUAAAAUACUAUUUAUCUUCUGAUUAAUCAAUACAAAUUAAUUUGCCAAAGAAGUAAUCUUCAUACAUGAAGGAACAUAAUAUCUUAACAGUGAAACAAAAUUAACAAAAUUAUUCAUCCAAUCAUGAUAUAUUCUGUAUACCAGCUAUAGAUCUUGAUUUACAGCAUUCGCCAUGUCAUGGAAACACAACAAGAAACAAAUUUUUCUUCUUACUGAUAAAUUUGGGGUUUGAACCACUUUUUUUCUGACCAUGUUUAGCAACAAGUGUUACCGGUCAUGGCGACCAAACACCAAAGACAUAGGUGAGUACCGGCUCCGAACUGUAUUCGAUCUCUGCAAAAACAUUCCCGAAAAUUGAAACAUUGAGUUUAGUACCGAAACCAAGUCCACGAGCACGAACGAAAACUCGUUAUAUAUGUUGAUGUUCUUCCUCAACAUUACAUGUAUCAAUACACAUAAUCCAUCCUCAAAUCUUGACAUUUUAUUUGGUUCUUCUUCUCUUUUGCAUCACAAGACUUUGGGAUCUUCAAUUAUUUGACCUUAAUCAUAGUUGAAAUAUUUCUACACUUGCAUUAUUAUACAACCAUAAAAUGGAACAGUAGAUCAAGGGAAUUUAAUUCCAUGCUGCACUUACUGA